UACGUAGGUGGCGAGCGUUGUCCGGAUUUACUGGGCGUAAAGAGCGCGCAGGCGGUCGUGCAAGUCGCGUGUGAAAGCCCCCGGCUCAACUGGGGAGGGUCACGCGAUACUGCUCGACUCGAAGGCAGGAGAGGGAAGUGGAAUUCCCGGUGUAGUGGUGAAAUGCGUAGAUAUCUGGAGGAACACCGGUGGCGAAGGCGGCGUUCUGGACUGCAACUGACACUGAGGAACGAAAGCCAGGGGAGCAAACGGG
rnacentral:rRNA from 1 species